ensembl:lncRNA
GUCAGUGCCUGCAGUGAGGUUCCUGGAAGACAGGCCAGAGUUCUGGGCUCCUCUCUCCUGAUCAGGCAGUGGAACAAAUGCUGAGCUGAUAUGGAUUUCCCGAUGAUGGAGGGCACUGGGCAGCCCAGCUUGGAGAGGGUCAGCUGAGCUGCAGGAGUGUCUCACGAAAGGGAAAAGCUCACGGGAGUUUCUGUUCACCAUAAAUCCCUGUUUUCCUUGGAUCACCUGUUAACCUCUUGAGAGUGUUCAGUAUUCUUGGAGAAUGUCAUCUGAAGGCAAAAGGACACAGCUUCUCAGUGUCUGCCUGUCAGACUUCUUGGCCUCGGGCUGAAAAUUUUAUGUAGUUCUCAGGAGUUCCUGCAAGGCUGGCUUCAAGGAGCCCCUUCACCUCACCCUCCCAGACCACAGAGAGCAGCAAGAAUCCUUCCAGGCAGACUAGGUUGGAUUGGAUUCAGGAGCCUAAUUACCACCAGAAAAUUAAAGAAAGACCUACAGUUCUCAAAAUCUGGAUAUCAUCUGAGUGCUAUAAAGUGCUGGCCGAGGAUCAUCAUUCUUAAUAAGCUCCCAGUGAUGCUGGUGCUGCCGGAUUGUAAGCCACACUUUGAGGCAAAGCCUUGGAUUGCUGAGUGUUCUGGCAAUGUCUUUUUAUUAUACCUGAAACCACCUGCAUUUGCAAUAUUGUGGGUAGAAUUUAUUCUGCUAGGCCUGGUAAGGCCCUGCUAAGUGCUUUUUUUUCUGUCUCUCUCUCAUUGAACACCUUCAAUGUCCCACGUAUUGUGUGGAGCAUAUUACACAUGUCAUCCCAUUGAAUUCCCUCUUUUUCUCAUUCAAACUUCCAAACAGGUGCGUGGCCUCUUCACUCAGUUCCUAGUAACCUUUGCUCAAAAUGUCACCUUUCCCAUGUGGACUUACCCAACCACUCUUUUCCAAAUCAAAAAAGUGAAAGUGUUAUCACCCAG